GGAGGGGUCGCAUAGUGGACUAGUGCGUACGCCUGGAAAGCGUAUGUGGUCGCAAGACUACCGCGGGUUCGAAUCCCGCCCUCUCCG
rnacentral:tRNA from 1 species